AAAGGGUAUGGGAAAGUGGUAGGGUGGAGAUCCCUGUUUUCCCUUUAAAACUGAGGUGGGAGCUGGAAAUGCACAGGAACAUGUCCAGAUAAAAUAAGUGGUUUUGUGAUGGAGACCAUGGGAGCUAAGUGGGAGGAAAGAGAGAAAAGACGAUUGUGGGUGAAGCAGGGGGAACACCUGGAAACAUCUCCAGAGAAAAGACUUCCUCCACGAAAGCCAGGGUCCUUCAAGGAGCUGAAUCCGGGGCAAAGGUUAAGUCCAUAGAUUGACUGGCUGUUUGGUCGUAAAGCACUUGGUGGCCAUUUCUUGAAGCAGGAUGCAGGCGAGUAUUGAUCUAAAGGUGAUUAGCACCCCUGUCACCUUGAUGUGGGACUUCUGCGCGUGGGCUAUGAUGAAGGAACCAGCCAUAAGCACCAUGUGGAUGGAAGAUAAAGUGAUCUGCUUGCCACUUUCCUGUCUCCUGUUUCCUUGAUGUCAUAGAUCUUGUAGGAUUGGCCCUUCUGUGUUUGGAAUUGUGUCAUCUAAGCCUUUGGUAAGAGUCUCUACAUGUUCAGUGUAAUUCUUCUGAAAAAUUUUCAUCUGUAGUCGGUUGAAUUUUUGGGUGUGGAAACUAGAACAGAUGUCUGUAGCCCUUAAAAUUUCCUUAUUUUCAUCUCUAUGCUAAUCAAGUUGUAUAACAAUUUUUGUUCCAAGUCAGUGUGCAUUAUUGUUACUAGGCACAUUAUAUUUUUGCUAGGUUAAAAGGCUCAGAAAUAAUAUAAAUUCUUCCUCGUAUAAUUUUUAUUUUUUUCUCGGUUACUAUGGUUUUGUAAGUAUUUAGGAAAGUGAAGGUUGAAGAACAAAGUGAAGCCAGAGGAUGAGGAGGAGUUCUAUAUAAUGCUGGCCUCUAGACAUGACAUCACUAUUGCACUCAUCAACUCACAGUAACUGUGAGUAUAUUUUUCCAUUACAGUUUGCGAUGAUCGUUUCCCUCCAAAUUCCCACAUCACCAGAGGGUCUAUAGAUACUGUUAUCUUCCCCCCAGACCACUUUCUUGGAGCUGUGAGUCUGUCUAUAUUAAUCUGGACCAUUAGUUUUCCAGCUCAAUGGUAGAGAGUCCUUGGCUUCAGGAUGCCAUAGUGGUUGCUCUUGAUUAAAUACCCUUGCUUUGCUUGAUUAAACCUUCCAGAGAAAAGUGUGGUGGGAAUUUAUACUUCCCUUAUGGCCAGUCUUCCUCUUAUCCUCAAUAAAUAGACGGCAGUACUUCAUUGCCUCCGCACAGUUCUGCAGGGUCACUGGCUGACUUGGGCCAAUGAAUUAUGAGUAGGAGUCAUAUGCAUGUACCAUUGGUCAAAGCAAUUUCUUUCUCCAUGGAGGAAGCCACGUGCUGAGAAUAUUUUAAAAAUAUCCUGAAUUGAUAAAUUCAAUAGAAGUCUUUAACUUUGUAGCCUCUC